AGAGUUGUAUCCUGGCUCAGGAUGAACGCUAGCGGAAGGCAUAAUACAUGCAAGUCGAACGGAUGUAGCAAUACAUUAGUGGCGCACGGGUGCGUAACGCGUAUGCAACCUACCUUCAUCAGGGGGAUAACUACUCGAAAGGGUGGCUAACACCGCAUAAGAUUAUUGAGUGGCAUCACUUGAUACUUAAAUCUGAGGAGGAUGAAGAUGGGCAUGCGUCUGAUUAGCUAGUUGGUGUGGUAACGGCGCACCAAGGCGACGAUCAGUAGGGGAACUGAGAGGUUGGUCCCCCACACUGGCACUGAGAUACGGGCCAGACUCCUACGGGAGGCAGCAGUAGGGAAUAUUGGUCAAUGGUGGGAACACUGAACCAGCCAUUCCGCGUGCAGGAAGAAGGGUCUCUGACUUGUAAACUGCUUUAGCAAGGGAAGAAAAAACUCAUGCGUGAGGAAUUGACGGUACCUUGAGAAUAAGCACCGGCUAACUACGUGCCAGCAGCCGCGGUAAUACGUAGGGUGCAAGCGUUGUCCGGAUUUAUUGGGUUUAAAGGGUGCGUAGGCGGCUCACUAAGUCAGUGUUAAAAUUUUGCGGCUCAACCGUAAGUCUGGCAUUGAUACUGGUAAGCUUGAGUAUAUGUGAGGUAGGCGGAAUUGAUAGUGUAGCGGUGAAAUGCAUAGAUAUUAU
rnacentral:rRNA from 1 species